rnacentral:tRNA from 1 species
GAAUUAGUAAUGUUAAUUGGUAAACUGUUUCCUUGUCGAGGAAAAUGAUAUCGGAUCGAGACCGGUCUAAUUCG